rnacentral:miRNA from 1 species
UGUGUGUGUGUGUGUACAUAUACAUGUAUAUGCAUAUACAUGUGUAUGUAUGUACAUGCACAUAUAUUUUUUCAU